rnacentral:rRNA from 1 species
GACGAACGCUGGCGGCGUGCUUAACACAUGCAAGUCGAACGGUAAGGCCCUUCGGGGUACACGAGUGGCGAACGGGUGAGUGACACGUGGGUGAUCUGCCCUGCACUUCGGGAUAAGCCUGGGAAACUGGGUCUAAUACCGGAUAGGACUCCUGGCUUCAUGGUUGGGGGUGGAAAGCUUUUGCGGUGUGGGAUGGGCCCGCGGCCUAUCAGCUUGUUGGUGGGGUAAUGGCCUACCAAGGCGACGACGGGUAGCCGGCCUGAGAGGGUGACCGGUCACACUGGGACUGAGAUACGGCCCAGACUCCUACGGGAGGCAGCAGUGGGGAAUAUUGCACAAUAGGCGCAAGCCUGAUGCAGCGACGCCGCGCGAGGGAUGACGGCCUUCGGGUUGUAAACCUCUUUCAGCUAUGACGAAGCGCAAGUGACGGUAGUAGCAGAAGAAGGACCGGCCAACUACGUGCCAGCCGCCGCCGUAA